UAAUGGCCUCCAUGAAACAUUCAUUACAAUUUCAUUCUUUUCUUUCCUUGCUGUGUCUACUCAGGUUCCCAGGAAGGAUCUGUGUGAAUGAGACCUGAGAGUGCUUGGCCACAGACCCACUUUUGUCUUCUCGGUGAGCCACGAAAUACGAUCACUCAUGGAAUGGGAUGAAGUUACCAGGCCCCAGGAAUGGCACCAGUGGAUGAGUGUUGCCUGACUUCAGACUGAUCUUGAGAAAUUGUCAGCUGUUCAUCAAAUCCUCGUCACGUGCAAUAGCUUUGUGAUUGUAUGAGGUACUUGGGCUCCAUGUCCAAGUCCCUGUUCUUUAGUAGAAGGGACUGGAGUCCAGCUGGAGAUCAACGUGGCAGCCACAUCAGCUCUGAAGUGUGGGGAGUAGACAUCUCAAGGUGUCAAUGUAAACGUUCCCAACUCAAGGCAAGUAACAACCCACAGUGGUCAUGAAGGAAAACACCGGAACGGAAGCUGGGUCCUACGGCUCGGACUGUCCCACCUUGUUAGACUGGCAAGACAGAAGUGGUAACUGGUUCAGGAACCCUUGCUAGCCUCGAGAAAUCCUGGAAGUAAGCUGUUGGUUAAUACCUUGCACAGAUCACUGCAUGGUGCUCACACAGAUCUACCAGGCUGGGGAUUUCUCUUCCACAGCGUGCUCUCCCCAGCCACCAAGUAACCAAGCCACAUGACUAAGGACUAAAUCAAGAUAUGCACAGGGUAUUAAACAUAUACCAAAGGGACAUUUAACUUGAAUACAAGAUAAAAAAUCAGCAACAAGUGCUAUGAUCCAGUGCUGAUAUUGGAUACAAGCUUCAAGGACAAAUUUCUUUUCAAAGGCUUAUUCCAGUUUCAUGAGGCUAGCAUGAGGUGUGUACAUUUGCCAGGGCAAAUUGAUACUUGAGAAUCAGCUGGUGCAGCAGAUGCCUGGCACCUGCUCAGUCCACCU
rnacentral:lncRNA from 1 species